GCCUUCGUGGUGUAACGGUAGCACACUCGGCGCGUAUUCGAGAGGUCCAGGUUCGAGACCUGGCAUGGGCA
rnacentral:tRNA from 1 species